GCCUAUUCAGAAAUAGGUAAAACCACAAGGGUAGGGUUAGAGUGCAAAACUUGCAAAGAGAUAAGAUUUUGUAUCUCUUUCUCACGAGCAAGUUCGUGUGGGGAUUUCUCCUGUACUGCACCGCCACGCAUUGGCUUGGCUUGCCGGCCUGGGCUGCGCCUGGGGCGCCGUUGCGCGGGGGAUCCGGCGGCUAGCGCAGAUGGGCGGCCACAGGCGUGGCGCCGCUGGUGGUCGGCAGGGAGUGGUCGGAAGGCCACGGUCGUCGCACCGCCGGGCGGCGGCCGGGGGC
rnacentral:lncRNA from 1 species